GCCGGCGCGAUCAAGGGAGAGAAUGCGAGAGGCAUGAGGGAGAAAGAGUGAGAGAGCCGGAGCGUUUGCGUGGGGAACGAUCGCAGCUCGUCAUUCGAAGCCCGCCAACGGACGAGCGAGCAGCCACGGAACGGGACCGCGAUUCAAAGAACCCACGCAAUUUCCGCGUAAUAAAAGAGAGAGGGAGAUAUAUUUAAAAAAAAAAGAAAGAUAGAGAGAGAGAGAAAGUAAUAAUCGAGGAAAGUAACACACGCGUCGCGCGCUCCGAUCGGGAUAGCAAGUGAGAGCGGAGGGUGAUCGUGCGGGAAAGAGAGAGAGAGGAUAUCGCUUUGCGCGCCUGCUACGAGAGCAGAGAUUCCACGGGGUUGCGGAUUCGCUCGUCGCGACGCUCGCUCGCUCGCUCGCUCGCCCGCCCGUACGAAUUUGUCGAGCCGCUCGGUGCUCGCGUCCGUCGGUUAAGUUUCGCUCGCGUUCGGAUUGGCCGCGGUGGAAGUUUUCGACAGUAGAAAGGGAAAGAAGACGAAGGAGUGUGCGUGUGUGUGUGCGUGCGUGAGAGAAGGAGAGGCAGAGAAAGAGAAAGAAAGUGAGACGCGGAGGAAUACUGACCGACAAGGUGAAAAGGAAAUAGAAAACGAAAGGAGAGAGCGAGGGAGAUUAAUGAGAAAGUGCCGGAUAAGUAAAGUGGUGGAAGAGCCGAAGACAACAAGUUUUGUUGAUGACAGUGACAAGAAGUGACAGCCACGUCGCGUGUGUUUCGCUCUAGGAUAUCGUCGUCUCGGAUAAUUGGGUUCCGGAAAACGGAGCUCGCGGCGCCGAAGAAGAAGGAAAAGGAGAGAGAGAGAGAGAGAGAGAGAGAGAGAGAGAGAGAGAGAGAGAGAGAGAGAGAGAGAGAGAGAGAGAGAGAGUGAUCGCGCGUGAUUUGUUUACGAUUUAUCUUGGUGCGCUGUGUGUGCUUUCUCGGUGAAGUUGUGCGCGAGACGCGAGAUCUCGGCGAAAAGAAGAUUCUCGAAAAAAUUCAACCGUCGACAAAAAAAACUCGGACGCUCGCUCGUAACGUACGUUCCCUUCCCUCCCCCCCUUGCAGGCUUGCUGGGGCGAGCUCGAGGCGCGAAUUCGCGGAAAACGAGGAGCUCGACAUUUCCACGAAUUUCCUCCGAUAGGUAAGGAGGCUGAGGGGGGUACGCGCGGGCAAAACCGCGAGCGACACUCGCCAUUGGUCGUAAUCGGGCCGUGAUCGCCAAUAGGGUAAUCGAUCGCGCCAAUAGUUUCGGCCGAAAUUAAAAAAAGGCGUGUUUAGCCACCGCAGUCCGCGCGGAGAGCCUGCAUUAGCAGCUAUCGUCCGUUAUUCCGGCCAGUCUCUGUUCCCCAACCGACUGUGGCGUGUGUGUCUAUUUCAGAGUGAGACUAGUGAGGAUCGUAGGCGAGAGUAUCUUCGUCCUCAAAGAAACGAUCGUGGGACAUCCAAAUCGCCAACUGCAAGUCGAAACACGAGUCGAGAGGAGCGGACGGAGAUACGUGUGAAGUGAAUUGCCGGAGGGAAGUGAAUAUAACCGCAAAACGCAUCGUCGUCCGCGAGUGCGCCGCACCGGCCGUGCUACUGCGUGACCCACUCUCGCGUGCGCGCGUCCAGUGUCUUGACGAAAGAAAAGAAACAAGCGCGUACACGAGAGUCGUCAGUGCCCCGAGAGUGCAGCAGCGUGCAUCGUCGUCGCCGGGAUCCUUCCACCCCGUCCCGUUCGUCCGUCUCUCGCGGCCGCGAACGACGUGCUUCGUGUAGAAAAAUCGCGAUUAUCCCGGGCGACCGACGUGCUACUUGUGCGCGUUUAGUGCACGGUGCUGCACCUGUGUGGCCGGUCUCGCGAGCGCGAGAUCACCGACGCUUCGUUACUCCGUGAUCACAGAGUGAUUAUCGGUGCGUCGCGCUCCACCGGCGAUCUUGUCGCGCGCCUACGGACGGGACUUCCCCCGCCGAUUCACGCGCCGGAGUACGCGCCACGCCAGGAAGGAUAAGGCUGCUGGCCGGUGCCCACGUGACGAAAGUGCAGACGCUGCCUCCUCGGUCACUUGGAACAAGUGACCGACAGGACAUACAGUUUUCUCCCGGAAGCGUUACGCAAACGGCCUCAAGAUUCAGCUCGACGUCAUGCCGUGGUUCAUCCUAUUUCUCCUGCUGCUGGCCGUGAUGGAGGCCUUCCCUCGGGAGGCCACCUGUUCCCGCCUGCCGGACAUCUACUGGAAUUCCACCAAUCCAAUGUGAGUUUCCAGUCAUAUAUGGUAGUUGUAUCUGGUUUCUAGAAAUUAAAGUGAAUAAGCUAGAUGGGUAAGUGAAAAAAGACGACUCGUAAAUUUUAUAUUAUCAUUGAACCUUAAAAUUAACUUUGGAAACUGUAAUGUAAAAGUUUAUCACUUAAAGUCACGAAAAAGUAGGACACAUAAAAACUUAUUACUUCUUUAAUAUCCUAUUUUAUAAUUUAUUCGUGGAAUGUAUUCGUAUCUCGGCAACAAGUUUACAUUAUAAUAUAGUAUGUCACAUUAAUAUAAAUAUAAAGUACUUGCAUAUUUUUUGCACGAAUGUGCAGAUUUUUGUUUAACAUUAUUAUUAUUAUAUAUAUGUAAUUAAAGUUAAAAGUAAAAUACGGGAGACGACUGUCUUGGUGUAGAGCGAUAUAAUGUCGUCUGUGUUUGCGAUGUCUUGAGAAUCAAUUACUUUAAUUGAUACGAGAAAGAAACGAAUUUGUUCAGCCUUUUCUCCCCGGGUUUCAUCGCAUCGCACCUCGAUUCGAUGAAAUGCCCGACACCCUUGCAGAACUUCGGUGUCUGCGUAGCAAUCGAUUUUCUACUGACGCCUCUGUCCCCGCCACUACCGUCGUCGUCGUCGUCGUCGUCUCGUUGUUAUUGAUGACGACGAAUAUUCACGAAAUCAUCCGAGUCAUUGACAUCCAAUGGGCGAUGGCGAUGGCAAUGGCGGAGGUGGAUGAAGUGCAUGAUGUAAGGCGGAAGAGGGAGGGAGAGGGGGGGGGGUGCAAAUCUUACACACGCACGCCCGUCAAACACGUAUCAGUUGUAUGCGCGUGCAUGAUACACGUCUACGUCUUCUUCGUGUUCGUAAAAUAUCGAUGACAAUGCCUACCCAACAAGGACAGAAAGAGAGUGAAAAAGAGAAUAAAGGGUUUUAUAGGGAUGCAGUUGUCCCCGCCCACUUCCUCGAUGAUUGUAGUAUCAUUGAUUUCACUCAUGAUUUCAGUCAUACGUUUUUUUACGGAGUAUUUUGUAAUUUUAAAUUGCUACGUGCCAUAAUUAUUUCUUCGAUCAUUUUUUGAUAUAAAUAUAUUGAUAAUUAGAUAAAAAUACUAUAUAAUUAAUAUAAUUAUAACAAUUUAAAAAAUUCUAAUAAGGAAAUAUCAAAACUUUUUUCGCUUGCGUUUUCUUAACUGACGAGCAUUGUUGACACUGGAUAAAAUCGUGUCCGUUUGCGAGUCCCGCAACAUAACUGCUUUCGUCCACUGUAUCUAACCAUACUUUCGAAAAGCUCUCCAAAAAUAAUUGUAGCAGCGCAGUAAUUCCCAAGUGGUGGAAAUGGCAGCAUUGGUAGACUUUCUGCGGUCGUUAUUUCGGUGUGGUUGAGUUCGCAACAUGCGUUACGUCGGGAUGCGUUAUUCUUAUCGAUCCACUCGAAAGUACAGGGAUAUGUCAGUGACGGUAUUGCCACGGAGGGGAUGUACACAAUCGUCAGACAUAUAGCCGGUUCGACCAAUCGCGCUCGUUUUCCGCGAUGUGUGUCUACUUGAAGUGCCAGACGAGACGAAUCUCCCUCACUCUAAUUUCUACACGGAGGGACUUUCCCGUCGCGACGCGAAGUGGUAGAGGAUGAGGACGUCGCGCGACGAGAAAGAGGAAGGAGGACUGUAAUAUUCAUUCUCGCGCCUCCAAAGUAUUAUUAUUUUCUUAAUACACGCUCGUUUUUCACGGACAAAUCCAGAAGGAGAGCGAACGUCGUUUAUCAAAAAGUUCCAGCAAAAUUGUAGUAAAGAGCGGCGGGGGUUUCUUUCUAUGUACUCGAUUCAGUAUUUUAUUUCUCUGCAGUUACGCGCUUGUAUAAUUUUCUAAUUUCCAUAAUGAAUGAAAUUUUACAAAACGUAUUUUUCGUGAAAUAUUAUACAACCUUCCAUAUAAUGAAAUAUCUAAUUUAAUAUUUUAUUAUUGUUGAGCAAUUGUUACAAAUGGCGCCUUCUUCGCGCAGGGAAACAUUUUUCCAAACGCUCCUUCAUAAAAGCCCCACCGCUCGCCGUACUUUCCCUUCUACUUAACAGUUUGUCAUAGACAAAACAGCUUAAUAACAGGUUAGUCACGAGCAAAAUUCGGGGGCAGGACCGCCCGUCUAAGCGGGCGAGGGUCCCCGGGAACUCGGCUCGUUUCCUCUUACUGGGUAUCAUUAUAGUCGUCAGUUCUUUCGUUCUGUUCAAUUUCACGCACAGAGAAACACGCGUCUUAGGAGGAGGGAGGAAGGGGGGAAAUGCGUACGUUUAGGGCGUUUAGUACGUCUGCCCGACUUCCGGCAGGCGCGAUCGCCGAGGCAAUCUCAUCCACGCCGCGAGUUACACGCGCCGUUUUAUUGCGUACAGCGCGUACAUGUGGCUCACGGGAGGAAAGGAACAACCUCGAUGGCCAGGCAUGCGUGCGGCGGAUAUAGAUUUUGUCUGGGAUUAUUAGAUGUUUGGUUACCUUCCGAUAAUUACUCGUGGAAUUGCCCCGGCUAUAGUCGGCGCGUGUGCCAUAAUCGAUAUGCGCGUCACGAUCGAUACGAGCACACAAUACUCGCGCGUACCGGUGUUUGUACCGGCCACUUGUACGGCCCUGCUUCACGCCAGGCCCAUUCUGCGUAUUCAGGUGUAUUCUAGUGGGUUCUAAUUACAAGACGGACAGAAUAAUAUCGCGUCCGCGGUCCUCAGAAAAAUGUGAUAUCGAUUUCCUCUGGGUAAGUCAUAAUAUUUCAGUUACAGUAGCCAUACCGGCUAAUGAAAACGGCUUCUCCGCUUGCUGCGGAAUUCCAUAGUCCGAGCCUUCUGAAAGCGCUCCUCGGGUAUCGAUCAGUACGAUAUUCAAUAAAUAUCUGAUGAGCUAUUAUUGGGUAGGGCAGAUAGGAAUUUUUUCAAUCAACGAAUCGAAUGAAUUAAGGCAUAUUAAUUGCAAAGCAUGGUGAAAGAUUUAUUUUUGUUCGCCGAGACACCGAGAUAUAAUUCGAGAUUAAUAAGACGAUACUGAUGGCGAAAUUAUUAAAUAAUUCGAGGAACAGAGGUCGAAUAUUUCGGUAAACGGAAACUUCACUAACUUAUACUUUAAAACAAAAUGCUGUGAUACACGAGACAUUUCUCCGUCUUGGAUUCGACAGGUAGACGCGGAAGAUUGAAGCGCGGGCGGGCGUGUUCGAGCAUGGCGGAGCGUUUUUCAUCCUGUCCGCGUUUACGCUUGACGUCGUUUGUUCGUAACGCGACAGACGCUAACGAGAUUGGAUUGGUGAGAACGGGUGGGGUUUAUUUGCACGGCAAUAAAUUUCGGGAAACACGUGUAACGACAGUACGUAGAUAUUUAUAAAGAAGAGAAAAAAAACACAUGCGGAAGAGAGUUGGGGGAGAGAGAAAGAGAGAGACGCCACGUCGUGUGAGUUAAGCGUCGAAAAUUUGAAUGAUUUUAUUUGAUUGGCGCUCGUUAAUUACUUUCGUCUACUACGUGCGUGUGCAUACGACCGUAUGUACGUGCGGAACACGCCUCGGCAUGACUGGCGUUCAUUUAAUUUUUCUUAUUCGCGACUACACCUCUUCCUCUGAAUCUGCCUCGGCCUCGAAAUGUACGAGAUGGGCUUUUCGUGAUGUUUCAAAUCCCCUCGGGAACACCAUUUCAAUCUGAUAACGCGAUGGCUGUUGUAGGAACACGCCACAACAACCUGGUAACACGGGUCUCCUUUACCUCGUCGCGCACCUCAUACGCGUUCUCUGCAUCCCAUAUAUUCAACCAUCCUGAUGUGAUACUCAGAUGGCAUUGUUUGUAUGAAUAGUUCAAGUCAAAGGUAGCGAGUGAGAGAAUGGAGAUUUGAGUAAAAUCAACGAGAAGAUGAUGUGUAAAUACAGGCGUGUUACUUUAAAGUUUUAUAAAAUUAAUUAAAAUAUUAUUUUAAAAUUAAAUAACAGUAUUAUGAGCCACUGGAUCGCAAACACUAAUGUAUUUCGACUGUUUGCGAAUCGUGGAGUAAGGUUCGAAAAUGGCAAGUAAAUCGGACGGUAGUCACGAAAUGUCGAAGCGCAUUUUUCGUUCUCAUACUUCCCGAUGGCCAUUACGAUAUACUUUGUACGGCGCUCUCGCCGGAGCAAGGAACUCCGGUGAGGAGGUUGUUCCACUGCUUUAUGACGCGUGAAUAUCUGGCGGUCCUCUCCUCCUCUGUUUGCUCCUCUUUCUGGCAGCGCAACCGGCUCACCUCUAUAGUUUUAAGGCCUGGCACAAUAUAGCCAGAGAGGUCCUCCUCCUCCUCCACCCUUCCUUCGCAUCCCUUUUCUUCGUUCGCCUGGUAGAACGGAGCGGCCCAUUCUUAUGUUGUGUGUGCCGUCGCUUUUUCUGCUCUUCCUUCCCAAACACCGGAGAAAGAAGGAGAAAGGGGGAGAAGAAGAAGAAGCGGGAGUUUCUUAACAGAAGAGCGGAUAGGGUUUCGCUUUGGAUCGCCAGUCGCGGUUAGGUAACGUUCGGAUAACGCCUCAGGUUACCUCGCCAUCUCACCUUCGGUGCGCUACCAAGGAUUUCAGGGAGGCCGAAGAGGCUUCGCUCUUCAACGAGCCGUACACGGUUCCCGGGCGACAGGAUGACGUUACCACCAUUAGGAUCAGCUCCUACUUUCCUCUCUUCUUCUUUUUUACCAUCGUACUGGUGGCACCUUCAACGAACGAAGCUUGUCGAAGCAGUCAUUUAGCUGAUCGUCUUGGAGUCCUCUGUCGUGAUACUUUUUUAAUGAAUUUCCGAGUUAAUCUCUGUAAGCUGAUUUUUAAAAAGUUUGAAAUAUAAAAUUUCCACGUAACCAUAAUAAUUAAUUACGCUAAUAUAUAAUAAUCUCGCGCGUCUUGAACGUCUUACUUUUGUCUUCAUGAAAUUAAAGCAGACUCUCACGAUACCUAAUAUAGGUUUUAUUUAAAUGUAACUUUAAAACAUAAAUUUUUAAAGAUAACUUAUUUAUUUAUUUUUCCUACGGGCUGGUAAUGUUAAUAAUUUAAAUAUAUACUCCCGCAAAAUUACGGAAAGUCUAUUCAGCUCUCCGGGGCACUUUAUACGGAAAACGUAUAUUUUUCGUCUUCCAGGUCCUCUGGGAGACUGCGAUCUCUCUACGUUGACGAGACUAGGUACCCACUUCACCUAUGUCUCUCAUAUAUCCCUUCCUACGGCCUUUUCGCACACAAACGUACCCUGAACGCGCACGCGCGAGUUUGUACGUAUCUGCGAGUUUCGUCUCUUCAGAUAAAUGACGCCACUUAGAGAUUAGGCGCACGGGGACUCGGCUAGAGUGGCAGAGAGGUAUUUUCCCUGCCUACGUCGCGGAAAAUGGCACGAGUGAGUUUCAUCCUGCCCUGUAUCCGUCGUCGACUCUUUCUCCCGGAACAAGACCGAAGGAGUUCUCGACAGAGAUCACAUUCAAACGAUGACAUCCUACGUAUCUUUUAAAUUCGAAAUUUGUAUAUAAAAAUAUGAUACGAAAAGAUAACGCUAAGCAGCUUCUUUGUCAUAUCACGAAAACAAAUCUAAGAAUGGACAAAUAUCGUAAUGAUAUCUUUUCCACUGGAAAACUGCAAGUUAUUUCCGUGAUUUUAUUUAAUUCCUCGGAAUUACGUUAUUGAACGGAGUUAUUCAAUUUUAAAUUACCUGGCGUAAAACACAUUCAUACAGGACGGAUUCGAUUGGCAUUUAAAUCAGUUUAAUAUGAAUCGUAUCUUUCGUCCGAUUUAAUGCUGUAGCAAGAAAAUCCGAAUGUUCGAUCUCUUCCUGUCGGUAUGCUCGAUUGACUUUCCGGAAACGAGUGGCUCGUGUCAGCGCAUAAUUUUCGUAGGCAAUGGCGCGAAUCGCAUCGUACGUUCGGAUAAAAAUUCCGUGAAACUCGGUCGCACCCGGUCGCUACGUCGCCGUCGCCGGUGCAGCGCGUCGCGCCACUAAAUUCACCCUCGCAGACACUACACGUGCAUAACACCGGGUGGAAUUAGUACGGCGAGGAGGGGGUCAAAGUGGAAUUGUGAGGAACACCGAGCGUGCGAUCCAGGAAAGGGAUAGGAUAGCGCGCCAAUUUCUCGCUCCGCCACGGGAACGGCACAAAUUCUGUAUGCAUACAGAGAUGUGUGUGUGUAUGUAUAUGCGCGUGUAAAUGUCCCGGGAUUGUAUAACGCAAUGAGGAGGAAUGCGAUAGGGGGUACACUGUGCACGAUUGUACGAUAUCAUAAUCUCACUCCGCUUACGCUUCUUGCGGAAUGAGCUGCAGAAUUUUUCUGAACCGUCGUGUUUUCAUGUUCUCGAAUUUUCGUGAUUAUAUAUUCUAUACAUUUACGGAAGUGCCAGGUUAAUUUCACUAUCGCGAUCCUGUUCGACGAGGAUAUAAGAUUCGCCAAAAUCAGCGUGUAUCCUUUAAGGAGAAAAUAUUCUCUUAAAUUUUAAUGUUAAAUCCGCAUUUAAAAUGUAUAUGACAAAGUCCGAGUUGGGAUGUAACUUUUAGGACAGAAACAUAUUUAUGCACACAAGCAAUGGCACAUUCGCGUGGCACGGAAACGGGAUGCGGAAUAAGUAUACUCGCGACAAGAAAGCCACCGCGUGAGAGAGAAAUUGAGAUAGAUCACAAAUUUCUCGCACGAAGGUGGGUUAUCUACGCGCGUAUACACGUGGAAGUUUCCGGAAACUAGGAUAUUACCCGAGAUGGGAGUUGCUGUGGAAGAAGAUGGAAGACACAUCUCAAUUUCUUUCUCGGGGCACGUGCAUAUUUUCAGUAUCCAAACACGGAUACUCCCUCUCACAUAACAACACGCGUUCCCGAUGUUACGGCAACAAGAUCAAUACCUGCGCUUCUGAUUUUCAAGAACUUAUGAGAAUUUGCGAGGAAAGUCAGAAAAUUAUUAACAUUUGACACAAUUGUACUUUGCGCAAAAUUGAUUUUGAAAGUAAUACGUAACAUAACAUACACUUCUAAUGAAGAUGUCUUAAUUUAUGAUAACUAUAAAAUAUCAAACGAAGAGAGCGAAACUUUGUGUACGAGAACAGGAAAGUAACUGAAAUUGCGAACGGAAGAAGAAUUCGGAUGAAAAUCUGGUGCGUGAAAACGGAGGAAAUAAGACAGGAAUGAGGAUGAAGCUCGCGAAAUUUUUUACGCGAGAGUGGACCAGCGGAAGCUUUUUGGAAUUGCGAGUCAUGACGACGAGAAAUCGUACGUUGAAAACGAAGGAGGUGCAAAUUAUUACUAUCUGUUUCGGUGACGCGCCAUGUUUUAUUUUUAAACAUCAACAUCGCAGCUACUCGAAUGAAUAACCCUUACUUCGUUAAGAACUUAUUGUUAAAAACGUACCGUAUAUUCCAUAAUUAACGUUAUUGCUUAAACCUAGAAAGCUACUUAUAUUUUUCUGGCGUUAAUACUAUUUUCUGUGAAAAUUAAUCUAUAUAAUGAAAACAUUUUUUAGAUUUUUUGCUUUAGAAAUUGCAAAGUGUUAGAAUAAUUGAAUUAACACUGUUUUAAUGUAAAAAAAUCUUAUUAAAUCUUAUUAUUUUAAACAAUCAAAAUUUUAAUAAUAGAAAGUGUACUAAACUUAACGCCUGGAUAAAAAUUCAUCAAUAAUACUCUAAGGUUAAAUAUCAAUGUAAAUUAAAUGACAAAUUAAUUUAUGUAUUUACUUUUAUAUUAUUGGUUUUUUUUGUUUUCUUUCUUGAAGUUUACUUUCUUAUUAUGUAUAAUUAAUAAUGUAAUUUUUAUUAUUCUUUCUUUUCUACAAUUUUUACGUAUUUUGAUCUUUUGUUAUGCAUGUUUAGACUUUGACUUGAGAAAUUAUUGCAUAUAUGUAUAGGUAUAAUACACCAACUGAAAAAUUGGUGAGAUUCUUGGAAUUCUUGGAAUCUAAUUCUAAAAUGUGAGAUAUGUAAGUGUUCCUAUUCAUCGCGGAUAUUUUUCUCCGUACGCGCAUUAUGCAAGCACAGUGUAUUACGAGAAGUACAUUAGCUAAAUCUUGAAAACUGGGGUCUAGGAACCGGUGCGACAUUCCUCGGAUAAAAUAGUAAAAUGUAAAAGUCGGCUGAAAAUUAGACAGAAAUGAAGAUAAAGCAGAACUGCGCGUGGUGAAUGCACGUCGUCAAAACUACGAAGCGUACUCGCGAGAAGAGAACGUGAUGAGAACGCACGAGCUGUUAUGUUCUUUUUUUUUGUUAAACACGUACAUGUUUCUUACGGGAUGAAUUUAGAAUAGCUUUACACAGAAAGAAUUCACUCAGCGCAGCCAUAAUGCGGAUUUAUAAACUGUGAUACGCAUAAGGAAUGUUCGGAUAAAGUAAAUGCAAAGUAUCGCAUAUAUCUCAACGGUUGCUUUUACGACUACAUUUUUUUUCACAAAAUCUUUCUCGCUUUUCCUGUCAAGUUUUUCUCAUUUAAAUAUCGAUAUGUCGGAUGGAAUUUAGAGAUUUCGAACUAUGGAAAACAUUUAAGUUUUCUUGCUAGAUUUCUCUCUAUCUUGCAGGAAAUGUCUUAUAGUCAUAGAGAUUUAUAAAAUUAACAAAAUGAUAUAUUAAUAUUCUUCUAUUCCGUUGCAAAAAUAAAGUAAUAGCAUUAACGAACAAAGUUUCUAGUGAUCAAUUAAUUUUGUGAAAGCAGAUAGUAUAAAGUGAUGGGUCUUUAAGUAUUGAUUUUGCCUAAAGCUUAAAUACAUGAAAUUGUUAAAAAACAUACGUGUAAAAAUCAAAACAGUUGCAAAAUUUUACAUAAAUGGAUACAUGUAUUUUGUACGACAAAAAUACUUGUUCGAAUAACAAGUAUUUAAAUAUAAUAAAAAACUAAAAAGUGUUAAUAAUUGCGAUUUUGCGCAUCUUUAUAUAAUUGAUUUUUUAAGGUGUAAUUUAAUUUUUUCUUUAUCUAGAAGAUAACUCUAUAGUUUAUUGAUUAAAAUAGUCAAACACAAACAUUUUGAUCGUAAUUUUAAAUUCUCCAAAAAAAUAUGUAAUAAAUUAUGCGAUAAAAUGAAGAAAAUUAUUUUUUAAAAAGAAAAGAAUUAUAUAAAAGAUGCAGUAUAUUAGAUGUGUACAGUCCUUACGAAGUGAUUGUAUUUUGAAAAUUAAAUGUCUUAUCUUUUGAGAGAAACAUGGAAUAUAUAAAUAUCAAUCCUGCUUGAUAAUAGCAGUGCUAAAAUGUUUCCGUAUUCAUCGGGCUUAAUCCGCUGCCGCACGAAGUUUUUCGCUGGUUCGCUUGCGAAUAAAGUUAAUGCGGCGAACUUUUAAGUUUCUCCUCGCAUUUGUGAUGUUGUGUAAUCGUUAUUAUCUAGUUAGAAUUUUCCACGGAAAUUUCAAUGAAGUUUUGCUGAACUUGCGUCCUGCCUCUUUCGUUUGUAGUAUAAAUGUUAUUCGCGUGGCAAUUUAAACAGCACGAAGCAAUUUUAUUUAGUAAAUUACAGCCGCGCGUUUUUUUUUUAAACUUCCAGCAACUAGAAAUCAUCAAAAUCAACCGUACUCAACGCGUAUACACACGGUUAAAUUUAGAAAUCCAAUUCGAAAUUUCGGACACAUGCCGCAUAUAAAAUUAAAACCCCCGCAUCCCCAAAUGGACGUUUCCGUGUCAAAAAAAUGUAUAUUCACAGUUUCGCGGCUAUGGAAAAUAGCCGGAGCGGUGCGCGUAAACAAAAAAAAAAAAAAAAAAAAAAGAGGAAUCGAACGCGUAACGCGCGUGUUGCACAAUGCAUUCGACGCGACGCGGACGCUCGAUGCAUCGCCGCGGUUAACCGGUAUCUCGCCGACGAACCGGUGUAUCUCGCCGUCCUUUAUCACGUCGGGAAAUAAUUCGUUAACAACGUGUUAUGGGAGCACGGCGGUAAUUAUCGGGCUACUGCGCUCCAACGAUAUGUAAGUCCGACGUGCGCGCACGCGGCGAUUACGAAGCGCGGGGCGAAGUCUUGACUGUCCCUUGCUGAUUUACCGUGAUUUCACUGCACGGUCGAGGCGACGCUCUAAUUACGACCGCGAUAACGUUUUACGCACGCUUAGCUGUAAUUCAUAGGGAAAGACCUAGCGUCUGGCGCACUUAUCGUCGCGUCGCGCCGCCACCGCUCUAUGAAACGGAUUAGCUAAUUCACGGGUGGGGUGUAUAUCUGUGUAAACGUUAAACGGACAAACGGAUGGCCGGGAGCUCGAUGCGCUCCGGUAACACGCGGAGUCCCGAAGACUCGCGCAGACUCGACGCUCCCGGUGCGUCGCGGCCUUACGCGCGAUUCGCCACGGACGAUAAAUUUCCGAGGUUUAAGUGGCUGCGUAAUUUGAAAGUGCCCCACCGUCGGGGACGCACGUAAAACACGCGGGGCGCGCGUCAGCCCGUGAGGAAACUUCGCCGUGCCAUUAUCGCGGCCGGCAGUCGUCCGCGCGUUUAAUGCUUUCGGAUGCGAAACUGAAAGCGUAUCGUUAUUCGUGGGCUGUAAACGCGACUCCGGCGCGCUUUCGGGAAAUUGAUGAAACCGUAUAUCUGUGCGUCCUCCUUCGAUUUUAAUACGUGUACAGGACCGUCGACGAGACGCGCUGAUGCAGGGUACCUAAAUUGCAAAUGCAUUGCACGGACUUGGGAGCACUGAUGGAAUGGAAAAUCGAUAGAACCGUACAACUGAUUCCUCCGACAUUGUCGACAAUGCGAGUGCUAUGAAAGUGCUUCCAACCAUUCAGCCUGUAGUUUUAAUUGUAUCAGUAUACGCUUAUACUAGCAGCAUCGAUUCCGUUUGCAUGUCUGAAAUGUUGAAUUAGCAAAACUCCGAAAUAAUAAAAAAAAAAAAAACGAAUAUCUGUAAAAAGCGAAAAUCUCACGAAAUCGAGCGAUAUACGGAUAUUGUUUUAUCUGCUCUAAAAAUAGUUGUACCGCAUAACAGCACUUGAGCGCGUAUCGAUAUCUUUUGGAAGUAAUUCCUCGCAAAUUUGGAAUGCGUUCGAAUCCCGUAUAUCGGGUAUAUAAUUCUUUCCGAACCGCGCGAAUACUUUUCCCCGUCUGGAGGAAUAUCUACGAGAAUGGCGCGCCAUAACUAUCUCCGGCGAUUAGAUGAGGAUCGGUUGGCGGAAGCUCCGCUGCCCGUCGGAAUUUACUAUGUCCGUCUAAUUAUAAUCUGUGCUCUCCGAGAGCGAGACAGAUCCGACGAUAGAACAAGUCUAUAAUGGAUUCCGCAGGGGCGGAAACGAUUGUAAUCACCAUUCGUCACUGGGCAAAUGGAAAUUUGGCUCUCCGACCUUACCGCUAUUUAACACUGUCGUAAGUUUUCGAAACGUUUCAUUACCAUAAUUUAACAUCCCGUUCGCAUGAUAUUAACGUCGUUGUAUGCGCGGUACGACGCUAGUUACCGGGAGCACGCGCUCUCGCAGCUCUCGCACGGGGAAAACGAUCGGGGUCGACUUAUUAAGAGAGAAACGAACGAGCGACCGGCCGCGCUUUUUUCUCUGCACGCGCACGAGCUGCGUUAUCCAGAAAAAUUCAUUAUCUGCGGGCUUAAUUAGACAUACCGGCGGGGACGACAGCAUUUUAAAAUCACGACGUAAGCCAUGCACUGUAAUAUCGCCGGCGUACAAAGAGAGGGAACAGAGUAAUUCAUCCCGCUCUAAUUUAUUAAAGUUAAAUCAGCUACGUGUAGGAGCUAACGUUGCUGACUAAUAAAAUGCGAGAUUACGAUACUGGAAAUUGGCUUAAUUACAUAUUAUCUCACCGAUAUUUUGUUAUGGCUUUACGACAUAUGUAGAAAUCAUUUUACAUAAUCUUUAUUUUUUUAAUAAAUUUUUUUAGAAAUAAAUGUGAAGAAUAACGCGUAUGUACAAUUCAUGAUACUGCUGUCAGCAAAAAUCACGUUGAAAUUUUUUAAAAAAAUUUACUGUAAAUAUGGCGACAUUCAGUUUUUACAUCAAAGGAAAAAUGCCAGUUGAUUUUUCGAGAAACUGAUUUUUUUUUUUUUUUAUAAAAUCAAUGACGGACGGAGACGAUCAAUCGGGGAGGCGCGAAAGGUCAACGCGCGUUUUGAAAAAGCCGGCGUGAACGAUUAAUUUCAUCGGCGCAGUAAAGUUUCCAAUUGCAAAUGUAGCAGAGAUACGUAUGUACCUGGCGGGGAUGGCCGAGGCGAUCUCCGAGCUCAGGCCGCGUCAGCAUUUGGGCGAUUGCCCCCUCCGAGCGAGAUAGUUUCCAGAAAAAUGCUGGACGUGCAAGAGAGAUUGCGAUAGGAUAGGAACGAUUGCCCGCGGGCCGAAGAGGUAAACGAAAGAGAGAAAAUCAGUGGACCAGUGAAGCGCUUAAGAGAGAUAAAAAGCGAAGAGGAACGAGGGUGGAAGAACGUUUUGCGAGAUAGACUGAAUGAGAGUAAGGUAAUAUGGACGGGCUAAAACAAACGAAACCUAGUCGGUUAGAGCUAAUUUCCUUUACUCGACGGCCCGUCUGCUUUGCUUCGAUGAAGACGUCGGGAUAUCGUCACACGCACGCAACACACGCAUCAUAAAGCUAAUAAACUCUAUGAGAGAAAAAUUGAUCUUAACUUUUUCAAAUAAAUCUCAAAUAUAUCGCUUGAUAUUUUAUUAUGUUAUUAUGUUAUUAAGUUACAUUGGUAUCUAGUUUUUUAUACUGAAUUAUGUUUACAAUUAGUGCCUAUUUCUACACAGUGGAAUACACAAUUUUCUAUUAAUUUCUCUCGCUGCUUUAGUACUGCUCUUAAUAAGUAUACGACAAGGAAUCGCAAACAGUAGGAACUAGUUAGACACAAUAAACUUUAAUUAACGAUUGUCUGGAAUUCGCUGAGUGAACAAGAAUUCACCGUCUUCGGAGAGUAGAAGCAUAUACAUAACUGAGACAGCAACAAUGCUACGAAGUUUUUAACGCUAAUUCAAUAAUAAGGAUUAUGUAACGACUACUAUUAUGCAUAUUAUGCUGACAUGACAAUGAAUAUUCAGGCAUAGUUUGAAUAAUAUCCAGCCAGAUUCAAACUAAUCUUUUUACACAAUUAAAAAGAUUUUAGAAGAACUUAUUUUUCGAUCUUGAUGCAUAAUGAUAUUUGUGUAAACCUUUAUUUUUCUCUUGAAACACAGUUCUAAAUUGAAUAAUAAAUAAAGUAAUAAAUUCUUUACAAUGAUCUAAAAUGUUUUUUUAGUAUCAAAGUAUCAUUAAAUGCUUGUCAAUCUAAUUUGUAAUAUUUUUCUAUUUGCAAUAUUAUUCGGUGUAAAAAUUUACACAAAUAUUAUAUUAUAAAACAAAUAUUAUAAAAAAAUUUGAUCACGCGAGAAAUUUAAUUACAUACAGUACUUAAAAUGCACAGUCAUUUAAAUAGCACAAAUAAUUUUAAUUACCAUGCGUACGUCUUCAUGUACACGCAUGCAAGUGCGGCUCUACUCGCAUCGCGCUGCCUACUACGGCGAGUUAACAAUGUAGGGGUUGCAGCCAUGCAUGAUGAAUUCUGUCUGGAGUGCUGGCACGACAGGAAGGCAGCAAGUUCGCGCAGGUACGCCCGUGGUAUACGACGCGGGAUAUGCUUAAGGUAGCGCGAGUCUCGAGAACUGGUAGCGGAGGCCUCUGUUUUGACGAGAGGCGGCGGAAGAGUGACAGUGAAUGAGGAAAGAGGAGCUGGGAGACAGGGAUCGGGAUCAUAAGGCAGCGAGGCGAGGCAGAACUUCCUUCAAUAAUGACGCAGCCCCCGACAGGCAGUCUCGUUCCAUCCUCUCGCCUCCCACUAGUUACACCCUUACGGACUUACUACCCCUUAACGACAGUUUUCAAAUAGGCGUCCGACACCUCAAACUCUACACGACGUUCGUCUAUCCGUCAGACUUUCUCACCGAACGACGACAUUGUCUCUCUUUAUACACCAUGAAAAAUCUAUUAUAUCUUUUAGUAAAAGGCUGUUGUCACCUUUACUCGAUUAGAUGAAAUUAAUACGUGCUACGAAAUAAAUAGUGAUUGCAAUUAUAAGUAGUUGUAAAAUUUCUUAGAUGAACAUUCUAAAUUUAAUCUUAAUAUUUAUAUUAAUUUAUAGGAAUCAUAUUAAUUUAAUUAAAUAUUAAUGUUGUAUCGAAUUGAAUAAAGUAACUAAGCUUAUUUUUUUACCUAAAUCUAUAUACAAUAUAUAUCUUGAAAUGUUACUAUAGAAUAAGAAUGUAUUUCUAUUCAAAGAUCAAUAUUUUUAAGAAAGAUUUAUAGUCGGUAACGUUUUAAAAUUUUUAAGUAUUCUAUAGAGAGAAACUCUCGUGCACUCUAAAGUAUCAAAAGAAACCGAAUGUACGGGUUACAUUCCAAACACGUAGCUCGUACUGAGAGAAGUACUGUCGGAGUAUUCUAGUAGAGAAUAUGUAAUAAUCUAAAUGCGCGCGUGUAAUAUUUCCAUUAUUUUUACACGAAUUACUUCCAUAUCUAUGACUUUCGUCAAUUUUUUUUAGCAAUGACAUUAUAAAUUUCAUUACAUUUCCUCGUCUUGGCAAAUAUAUUCUACUAUAACUAUAUAUUUUUUAACUAUAAAAUAAAUUAUAUAUUUUUGAAAUUAUUAUUAAAAGCUGCGUUCUGUUGUUUAAUAUAUCCAUUAAAAGUUUUUCGAUAGUUGAAAAAUAUGCGAUAAGAUUUCAUAUUUACUUUUAUAUUUAUAGAAUAUUAUCAUAAUUAAUCUGCAGUAAUUACCGUAAAGAUCAAUUUGAAUUCUACAAUGGAAGAAAAAUAUUUUCAGUGUCAAGUAAUUAAAAUAGCGGAUUAGCUCAAUCAAAGAGUAAAAUCAGGUGCAAAAUGUAAAAGUACCUAUUAAAUUACUAUCGACUAUUGGCGGAGACGCGACGUUCCAAGUGUCACGGCGACAGGGUGGAGAAAUCGGUCGUGAGGGCGGCGGGAAGGAUAUUGUGACGGUAGGUCGGGAAGGCGUGGCCUGUCGGAGCCGAAGGGAACGGAAGAAGGGUGACUUUGACCCUCUCCUCGCAUACGGAAUCCUUACCGAAGGGUCCUCGUUCCCUCGUCCCGGUGUCUCGCUUUCUGCUUCGACUUACGUACGUGCGACUUACGAUGCGUGAUGGAACGACGCCUGAUGUGUGUGCACCCUCGUCGGCUGCUGCGAGGCGGAACGUACGUCACACAUGCAUACGUGUGUGCACGUCUUGCACACCCACAUUUCUACACGAUGCAAUGUUGCCGUACGUGUGUAUUCACUAAUACUUUCAGGACAUCCCGAUAGCGCGAUGCAACGUCAAAGGGUUGAAAGUGUGGUGCGAGAGGUGCAGCAGAGGCUAGGGGAGAACGCGAGCUCAGAGGGUGCAGUAGAGUAGGAGAGUGUCUAGACGGGCGGGGUAGUUAUAUAGACCGGCUGGCUGGCUGGCUGGCUGGCUGACUGGCUGGCUCGCCUGGCUAGAUGACUGGGUGGCAGUCGCGGCGGUAUGCAGGGGCCAUUGCGUCGUCGGAUACAUUGCGGAAGUGGAGAGCUGAAGGGAGAGAAGGUGACACUGCUUCUUCAAGCUAUUUUAAAUGAAGACUGGUCUCUCUCCCGUAUAUGCAUCUUAUUCGUCUCUCUACCUGUGUCUACGAGCCAUAUGAAACUAGUUGGCGGAGAGAAAGAACAGAGCCCUUUCUUUGAAGGCCGCGAGCCGAACAUAAUGACAUUCUCAACUUUUUAGACACCGAUCGCUACCGAGGAGGAGAGAUCCCUUCGAUCGCCUUUCGCUUAACCGUCUAAAGAUUGCCGUAGAUUGAAACACACGAGUGCGAUAUUUUCGUUUUAUAACGUUCACGUUCAUCUGAGUGUUACGAUUGAAAACUUUUGUUAUUUUUAUAUUAUGAGAAUAUCUAGAGAGCAGGACAAAAUAUUUGAAAGCCGGAAAGAUAACUAGAAAGUAAAUGCAUUAAAAUUUCCGGGAACGUAUAAAAGCAGAACGUUAUAUCACUACAUCAAAUUCUCAUAUAGGUGGACAUGCCGUGGCCUUCAAUGUUCUAGGUAUCUAAGUGAACUUUAGCUUUCUUCGAAAUAUUGAUGGCUUAAUGGCCCUUUUUCUUGGCAUUUCAUGAAGACCCUAUCUACUCGUCUAAUAUUGUUUUGAAAUUUGAGAAGAACAAUUGAGAAGAACGAAAAUUAAAUUGUUUGUGAAUAUUUUUUGAGUAAUAAAUUGCAUAAAAUGCGGCGUUUAAAAAAACUGCAAUCAAUAUUCAUUAAUUACAAUGCGAAUAACUUUAAUUAAUGCAAGCAUUCAAUGAAAAUAAGUAGCAUUUGCGUUCUAUUUAAACGAAAUAAUGAGAUGCGUUAUCGAGUCUGAAAUUUCACAAAUAUUCCCCUAAUUUUCUGUAAUUUCUCGCAAAACAUUUUCGGGUUUUAUAUGAUUUUGAUAUUAGCAUAAGCAUUCAUAUUAUAAUUAUUUCACGCAGUGAGAUCUUAUGAAAUAAUUAUUCCAUAUGGAAACACAGUGCGUGAGUAUCGGAAAAGUCAUGUGCUCGCGUAUUUCGCCUCAUUAAUUUUGUACCGAGUCCACAAAUGGCGCCCAAGUGACGGAGAGCAUCCCAUAUACGCUACGCGAUAUUUCCAUAAAUUACACAUCAUACUUGCAUAAUUUUAAUUAAACAAACACGUACAAGCUCCAGGCCGACGAAAACGUAACGGACGAUAUUUCCGAUAGUUCAUUUACUGAUCGAUCAUAACGCGCCCGUACGUGUGCGAUCGCAGUAUGCAUUAUUUGCUUGUACUCUACGCAUAUCGAAUAUUUUGCGCAGCCUCAAUUUAUUCCGUAUAUUUAGCAGAACGUCCGCAUAAACAGAAAUUACGCGUAUCGUGGAUCGUGUGUGCGCGAACUCGGUUGGGCACACAAUUCAAGUACAGGUCAUUCAAUUUCGGUAUAAGUUUUCGAGUGCUAUCGAGUGACUAGUACAAACGACAAGUCAACCAAAAACUUGACCCGUUUAGCGCGAUUAAAUUUCGCCGCGAUUCCUGAACAAAAAAAAGAGAAAGAAUUCGCGCAAUCGUCCCGACGAGGGGCGUGUAACACGGCCUCGCCCUUAACGACGUGCGGCCAAAGAAAGAUGAAGCCUUUCCGUACCACAUCAUACACGACUACCGUUUGCUUCCUUAGGUUGGCUUAGCCCUCGCGCUUCAUAUUCGAUUUCAGUCUUCAGCCGGCCGUCCCUUCAGGGCUCUUCGACGGGGCUACUCACGCACGUACGGCGUAUCGAUGCACGGCAGGCGCCGCUUCCCUGUUACAGCUCCCGUUUCUGGCCUGCGUGUCUCGUCUUUGGCAACCGGAUAUCACGAUCCUUCGCGUGCAGUGCACGAAUUUGCCUCCGUUUUGCACGGCAGACACGCGGCGCCCGAACUUGAAACGGAUUGGCGAAAUUUAUAACGUCCAGCAGAACAUUCGCUUAAAGAGAUUACAUGACUUCUGCCAUGGAAGAAAUAUGAUUUGGAAAGAUAUUUUCUUCCCUCAUCAGAAAU